ensembl:lncRNA
UGCCUCUCUGUCCUUCCUCCUCUACUUCCUGGCUGGGGCACAGGAAAGGAAUCGCACAGAGACGGUUGUCUGCUAGCAUGGCCAGCUCCGAGUUUCAGUUACAUUGAUCACUGGCUCUUGUGUAGUUUUCCGAUGGCACAAAGGGGAUUCUAGGGCAGCUUUCCCUUCAGUGCCCUUUCGCUAGGGCUCACCGUUCUGUCCAGCAUGUGUGCAGAAAGAGAAGAUCCCUGGGGUGACGUUUUGAAGACUAUCACAGGGAGCCAUUCUGUCUGCAUCCUGUCUCGGUCACUGCUUGUCUAAGUACCAGAGAGCUGCUCCCCAGUGUGUCCAGGCCUCCAUCACCACUGGGACCCCAACAUCUGGUUCCCAGGAUUCUGAGGAAUUUGGGAAAAGAGUUGAGCGAUAAGAUGAGCUCAAGGAGACAAAAUCGGAUGAAAAUGGGGAGCUCUGGCAGCAAAUCCACAUAAGGACGCUUCUUAGGGAGACAAGUGGGACCUCGGCUGCACACGUCCCUCUGGGCUUGGAAGGUGGCCUCGAUUUGGAGCUCAGACCUGGUGGGAAACCUCCAAUGCUGUUGCCUUCCAGGAACUGCCAGCAGCCUGCAAGGGGCCUUUGGCCUGGCCUGGGCACCACCCUGCCUCAGCCACUGCGACUUUAGCUUGUCUUCAUUCUUUGUAUCUCAGAAUCCUCAGUGGCAAAAUAGGGUUAGUAAUAAAAGACACCUAUAGAAGCCCCUAGAACAAAGUGUGACUCAUAGUCAGAGCUUAAAAAAUGUUUAGCUACUAUCACUGUGUAGGAGGGAAUCAGGAGGAAGGGAAAGGGACUGAACCUGGGGACUUGUGCUUGCUAGUCAAGUGGCCCUACCACGGAGCCACACGCCCAGGCCACUAGAGCAGAGCUUCUUACACGUGAAUGGCACCGAAAUCACCUGGGGACACCUGGGGAUCUCUGUGGAGAGCAGACUGACGUGUGCCAAUAACCACAUGUGCUCAGCGGCUGCCUUACUGGACAGCACGCUCUGCACAGGACGUCAAGCUCACAGUUCCGAUCCUUGGCAGAGUCGUCAAAACCAAAACAGUGUGUGCAACCUGAACAAGACUAUCUACAUACCUGGAAAAUGUGCUCAA